UACGAAGGGGGCUAGCGUUGCUCGGAAUCACUGGGCGUAAAGGGUGCGUAGGCGGGUCUUUAAGUCAGGGGUGAAAUCCUGGAGCUCAACUCCAGAACUGCCUUUGAUACUGAGGAUCUUGAGUUCGGGAGAGGUGGGUGGAACUGCGAGUGUAGAGGUGAAAUUCGUAGAUAUUCGCAAGAACACCAGUGGCGAAGGCGGCUCACUGGCCCGAUACUGACGCUGAGGCACGAAAGCGUGGGGAUCAAACAGG
rnacentral:rRNA from 1 species